rnacentral:lncRNA from 1 species
AGUAAAUACCGAAAAAAUAACUAACAGAUACUUAUUGAAUAAUGAAUUAAGUUCUGGUGAAGUAUUUACUGUCCUUUUUAUCUGCCUUUAAGAACAAUAUGCACAACUGUUCUCAUACACAAGAGUAUUUCUUAAAAAAAACAUGAAUUGCAAAUAUCUACUAAAAACUGUUGUGUCGAACAGGCCGUUGAUUAGGACAGUAGAGACCAAAUAGAAAGAUGCCACUUCGAAGAGUCAAAAUCACCUGUUUUUAACCAUAUUGAAGAAGCUGCUUAUAUGGAACAUGAACAUAAGCAAAGAGCUUCAGAUUUCCAGUAAUGAGGUAAUAAAUAACAUUGUUAGCUAUUUGUAGACAGACACGGGCAUUCCAUGCACCAUGAUGUGGCCUAUUUUAAGGUGUUCUCUGCCAGUUUGAGAAGAAAGGCAAUUCACCCCUGAUCUUCUAAGAUAAGAAGAAAUCAGAAAGCAUAGGCCAUGAUUUUUGACGGAUCAAAGAAAAACAAAUCCAAGGUCAAAAGCAGAGAAUGCUGUUAAUGCUCUGCUACAAGAGAAGGCCCUCUAUCCAUUACUGACUGCAGAAGAGGAUACAAACCUGUGCCAUGAACACUCACAACUAAACUCAGCUCACUGAGGACAUUGACACUUAUUUAAACCUAAGAAUUGUUGAGCAUUUAAUUCAAGCUGGUGAAAUAUGAGGAACAGGAGACCAGCAACAAAAGUUAAGUUUGCUCAACUUCGGAAUCGUUUCAUGUUUUUGAACUUCCAUGAUAAACCAACAGAAAGAAUAACAGAAAUAAACAAGAUUCAACUCUCCAGGGAUCACUUGCUUUACUGUGAGGAUCACUUUCUGUGUCCUGCACUGCCCCUUGCUGGAGUAUCUCAUAAAUGUGACAGUGUAAAUUCUAAGACCAGUGCUAAUUAAAAAUGUGUAUCAGUUUCUGAUCCACAAAGUAAUCUUAAAAUAUAAGGAUUCUGUGCUUUUAUAAUCAGUCACUUAAUUAACAAUUCAUUAUCAUAUAUCUGGACUUCUUUUCUCAAGGCCAUUGCAGUCUUGGCAAAAUGAAUACACGUGAAUAGCUGUGCUUGCAACUCCUUGUUUGUCAGCGUUAUGGCUCUGAUUUUGUUUGGUUUCCUUUAAGUUUUCAAGGAUAAUAUUUGAUCUCAAAAUAUGUUCUUAACACAUUUUCACAAAUGUGUGAAAGGUGGCCUAUACAAAUGUGAAUGUAGAGAAACUGUUAAAAACUCCAUUAACACUUCCCCACAAUAAGUAAAUCCUACCACAACACAUCUCAGCCACAAUACCUCUCACCCAGUCAUAAUUUACUCAAUUUAUGCUAGUAUUUUUAAUUGCAUCCUACAUGUACUUGUUGUAUGCUAUAGAUCAGAUUUAUGUAGUUAACCUCUCCUUCCCUUCCUGUCCACUGCUGAUUAAUAAAGCCAAGGACUCACCUUCUUCA